GCCAGCGCUGCUCCAAUCUGAUGGACAGGGAGGUGGGCACGUUGUCAUUCGUCGAGUUUUUAGGUGUUUUGCGAAAAAAGACCGAGAAGAUCAGCUUCAAGAUCGAACACUAGAGGUCAACGGAUGUAAAAUGUUGUUUUUGUAAAGCUGGAGUUGGUCUCGCCAUCUUUUGGAGAGAAGAGACAUCGGGUUUUCAGCGCUAGCGUGAGCAGGCUAACUGACGAGGAAAAGCGCAGCUGCUCUAAAAAAGAUUGACGUGACCUGACCUCGCUGGCCCACCACUCAGUUUGACACAACCCCUCCUCCCUAAGCUCUAUGGCCCUCGGGUACGUCUGCCACACCUCUUUUUUCUAGUUUUAGGUGUAUUGGUCAAUGUUUUGCAUGUUUGUGCUUCUACAAACUUUCUUUCACAUUAAUACUGAAGCUAUAAAUAGCAUUAAACCUGAAUCCGUAUCAAGAUCUCAUAACUCAUCUUGACAAAGUAGUACAUGAUUCAACAGCAGUCAUUGGAAUGUGAUUUGUGGAUGGUUGCAUGCUGGGAGUUUUUGCUAAUAGUGGUUUUAGCAGGAUCAUGUUGAGUAAAUUCAUAAAUGCAGGAUGACGGUUACAUCAUACUGCUUUACAGAUUGCUUCAUCAAAAACACAGUCGUCUCGGUCUGCGCAGAUGUCUUGUUGUUGUGUUAAGGGCAGGAUGAAAAUUCCUUUGGGAAGGCUGAAUAAUCAAAGAACAGUAGCCACAGCACAGUGGUUCCGUG
rnacentral:lncRNA from 1 species